UACGUAGGCAGCGAGCGUUGUUCGGAGUUACUGGGCGUAAAGCGUGCGUAGGCGGUGUCUUAAGUUUGUUGUGAAAUCUCCCGGCUUAACCGGGAGGGUGCGGCGAAUACUGAGAUGCUGGAGUGCGGGAGAGGUAAGCGGAAUUCCUGGUGUAGCGGUGAAAUGCGUAGAUAUCAGGAGGAACACCUGCGGUGUAGACGGCUUACUGGACCGUAACUGACGCUGAGGCACGAAAGCGUGGGUAGCAAACAGGA
rnacentral:rRNA from 1 species